rnacentral:rRNA from 1 species
AAAUGAAGAUUUUGUGACUGAGUGGCGGACGGGUGAGUAACGCGUGGGUAACCUGCCUCAUACAGGGGGAUAACAGUUGGAAACGACUGCUAAUACCGCAUAAGCGCACAGGAUUGCAUGAUACAGUGUGAAAAACUCCGGUGGUAUAAGAUGGACCCGCGUCUGAUUAGCUUGUUGGUGAGAUAACAGCCCACCAAGGCGACGAUCAGUAGCCGACCUGAGAGGGUGAUCGGCCACAUUGGGACUGAGAUACGGCCCAAACUCC